AAAGCCAGCUGGGCUCCUGAGUCCGGUGGGUACUUGGAGAACUUACUACGUCUAGCUGGAGGAUUGUAAAUGCACCAAUCAGCAUGCUGUGUCUAGCUCAAGAUUUUCUCCAUCCCCUUAUUUUGGGCCAGUGGCUGUCAUUACAUAUGAGAACUCAAGCUCCAUGAGGAGAUGUUUCAUUGUCGAGAGCAGUCAUGAUGGCCUGCACUCCACACAAUGCAACAGAGUGAAAGAGCAGGUUCUGCUUCUUUGGUGUAGUCCUGAAGCUUCCUAAGAAACUUCACAUCAGGUGAUGGAUAGGAGCAACCCUGUAAAACCAGCCUUAGACUAUUUUUCAAACAGGCUGGUGAAUUACCAGAUCUCCGUCAAGUGCAGUAACCAGUUCAAGUUGGAAGUGUGUCUUUUGAAUGCAGAAAACAAAGUCGUGGACAACCAGGCUGGGACCCAGGGCCAGCUGAAGGUGCUGGGUGCCAACCUCUGGUGGCCGUACCUGAUGCACGAACACCCCGCCUACCUGUACUCGUGGGAGGAUGGUGAUUGCUCACACCAAAGCCUUGGACCCCUCCCAGCCUGUGACCUUUGUGACCAACUCCACCUACGCAGCAGACAAGGGGGCUCUGUAUGUGGAUGUGAUCCGUGUGAACAGCUACUACUCUUGGUAUCGCAACUACGGGCACCUGGAGUUGAUUCAGCUGCAGCUGGCCGCCCAGUUUGAGAAUUGGUGUAAGACAUCACAAUCCCAUUAUUCAGAGCGCGUAUGGAGUGGAAACGCUUGUAGGGCUUCACCAGUCUUUCCCAGGGAACUCCGAUGAAGUGUUCCAACAAAAUGAGCGAGUGAACCAAGAAGAGGAUGACAUUAGAUCCAGGAGAUACAACAGAGGAGAUAAUCUCCAGGAUGCCUGUGAAGAAAGAUCCCUGGAUCCCAGGAUGAUUAUAGGACAAGUUGUUCAUAAUCCAGCAGGCCAGAAGACUUCCAGGGAAACUCAUUCAAGGAGGUGAAAAUGAUGGAUGACUCCUCCAAGAUGAAAAUGGACCAGCCGCAGUGGCUCACGCCUGUAAUACCAGCACUUUGGGAGGCUGAGGCAGGCGGAUCACUUGAGGUCAGGAGUUUGAAACUAGCCUGGCCAACGUGGCAAAACUCCAUCUCUAUUAAAAAUACAAAAAUUAGCCAAGCAUAGUGGUGCAUGCCUGUAGUCCCAGCUACUUGGGAUGCUGAGGCAGGAAGAAUUGCUUGAACCUGGGAGGCAGAGUCUACAGUGAGCCGAGAUCAUGCCACUGCACUCCAGCCUGGGCAACACAGUGAGACUCCAUCUC
rnacentral:lncRNA from 1 species